rnacentral:rRNA from 1 species
UACGUAGGGUCCGAGCGUUGUCCGGAAUUAUUGGGCGUAAAGGGCUCGUAGGCGGUCUGUUGCGUCGGGAGUGAAAAUCCACAGCUUAACUGUGAACUUGCUUCCGAUACGGGCAGACUUGAGGUAUUCAGGGGAGAACGGAAUUCCUGGUGUAGCGGUGAAAUGCGCAGAUAUCGGGAGGAACACCGGUGGCGAAGGCGGGUUCUCUGGGCCUUACCUGGACGCUGAG